AGACAGGUGCUGCACGGCUGUCGUCAGCUCGUGUCGUGAGAUGUUGGGUUAAGUCCCGCAACGAGCGCAACCCACGUAUUUAGUUGCUAACGGUUCGGCCGAGCACUCUAAAUAGACUGCCUUCGUAAGGAGGAGGAAGGUGUGGACGACGUCAAGUCAUCAUGGCCCUUAUGCCCAGGGCGACACACGUGCUACAAUGGCAUAUACAAUGAGACGCAAUACCGCGAGGUGGAGCAAAUCUAUAAAAUAUGUCCCAGUUCGGAUUGUUCUCUGCAACUCGAGAGCAUGAAGCCGGAAUCGCUAGUAAUCGUAGAUCAGCCAUGCUACGGUGAAUACGUUCCCGGGUCUUGUACUCACCGCCCGUCACACCAUGGGAGUUGAUUUCACUCGAAGCCGGAAUACUAAACUAGUUACCGUCCACAGUGGAAUCAGCGACUGGGGUGAAGUCGUAACAAGGUAACCGUAGGAGAACCUGCGGUUGGAUCACCUCCUUU
rnacentral:rRNA from 1 species